rnacentral:rRNA from 1 species
GACGAACGCUGGCGGCGUGCUUAACACAUGCAAGUCGAACGGAAAGGCCCUGCUUUUGUGGGGUGCUCGAGUGGCGAACGGGUGAGUAACACGUGAGUAACCUGCCCUUGACUUUGGGAUAACUUCAGGAAACUGGGGCUAAUACCGGAUAGGAGCUCCUGCUGCAUGGUGGGGGUUGGAAAGUUUCGGCGGUUGGGGAUGGACUCGCGGCUUAUCAGCUUGUUGGUGGGGUAGUGGCUUACCAAGGCUUUGACGGGUAGCCGGCCUGAGAGGGUGACCGGCGACAUUGGGACUGAGAUACGGCCCAGACUCGUACGGGAGGCAGCAGGGGGGAAUAUUGCACAAUGGGCGGAAGCCUGAUGCAGCAACGCCGCGUGCGGGAUGACGGCCUUCGGGGUGUAAACCGCUUUCGCCUGUGACGAAGCGUGAGUGACGGUAAUGGGUAAAGAAGCACCGGCUAACUACGUG